rnacentral:rRNA from 1 species
CACGUAGGCACCAAGCGUUGUCCGGAUUUAUUGGGCGUAAAGCGCGUGUAGGCGGUUUUGCAAGUCGGGUGUGAAAGCCCUCAGCUCAACUGAGGAAGUGCGCCCGAAACUGCAGAUCUUGAGUACCGGAGAGGAUGGCGGAAUUCCCCAAGUAGAGGUGAAAUUCGUAGAUAUGGGGAGGAACACCGGUGGCGAAGGCGGCCAUCUGGACGGAUACUGACGCUGAGACGCGAAAGCGUGGGUGAGCAAACAGG